rnacentral:tRNA from 1 species
GGAGAGGUCGCAUAGUUGGUCUAGUGCGCAGUCCUGGAAAGACUGUAUAUCGCAAGGUAUCGCGGGUUCGAAUCCCGCCCUCUCCGCCA